CUUGAGGUCUAUCCCAGUGGGACUUUUUCUGUAGAUUUACAUCAUUGGAAACACCUCAUAGAGUAUAUAUGUGGUUUCCUUUACUCACAGAACUGUGUGUUAGCUCUGUGGGAAGGAACUACAAAGGCAGGU